GACGAACGCUGGCGGCGUGCUUAACACAUGCAAGUCGAACGGAAAGGCCCUGCUUUUGUGGGGUGCUCGAGUGGCGAACGGGUGAGUAACACGUGAGUAACCUGCCCUUGACUUUGGGAUAACUUCAGGAAACUGGGGCUAAUACCGGAUAGGAGCUCCUGCUGCAUGGUGGGGGUUGGAAAGUUUCGGCGGUUGGGGAUGGACUCACGGCUUAUCAGCUUGUUGGUGGGGUAGUGGCUUACCAAGGCUUUGACGGGUAGCCGGCCUGAGAGGGUGACCGGCCACAUUGGGACUGAGAUACGGCCCAGACUCCUACGGGAGGCAGCAGUGGGGAAUAUUGCACAAUGGGCGGAAGCCUGAUGCAGCAACGCCGCGUGCGGGAUGACGGCCUUCGGGUUGUAAACCGCUUUCGCCUGUGAUGAAGCGUGAGUGACGGUAAUGGGGAAAGAAGCACCGGCUAACUACGU
rnacentral:rRNA from 1 species